CAAUAGCGUAUAUUUAAGUUGUUGCAGUUAAAAAGCUCGUAGUUGGAUUUCGGAUGGGACUUGCCGGUCCGUCGUUUCGAUGUGCACUGGCCAGUCCUAUCUUGUUGUCGGGGACUAGCUCCUGGGCUUCACUGUCCGGGACUAGGAGCUGACGAGGUUACUUUGAGUAAAUUAGAGUGUUCAAAGCAAGCCUACGCUCUGAAUACAUUAGCAUGGAAUAACACGAUAGGACUCUGGCUUAUCUUGUUGGUCUGUGAGACCAGAGUAAUGAUUAAGAGGGACAGUCGGGGGCAUUCGUAUUUCAUUGUCAGAGUUGAAAUUCUUGGAUUUAUGAAAGACGAACUUCUGCGAAAGCAUUUGUCAAGGAUGUUUUCAUUAA
rnacentral:rRNA from 1 species